GCGUAAAGCGUGCGUAGGCGGCUUAUUAAGUCGGAUGUGAAAUCCCCGAGCUUAACUUGGGAAUUGCAUUCGAUACUGGUGAGCUAGAGUAUGGGAGAGGAUGGUAGAAUUCCAGGUGUAGCGGUGAAAUGCGUAGAGAUCUGGAGGAAUACCGAUGGCGAAGGCAGCCAUCUGGCCUAAUACUGACGCUGAGGUGCGAAAGCAUGGGGAGCAAACAGGAUUAGAUACCCUGGUAGUCCAUGCCGUAAACGAUGUCUACUAGCCGUUGGGGCCUUUGAGGCUUUAGUGGCGCAGC
rnacentral:rRNA from 1 species